UACAGAGGUCCCAAGCGUUACUGAGAAUCACUGGGUUUAAAGGGUGCGUAGGUGGUCCGUUAAGUCAGUUGUGAAAUCCCCGGGCUCAACCCGGGAACUGCUUCUGAUACUGGCGGACUUGAGGCCAGUAGGGGUCACUAGAACUGACGGUGGAGCGGUGAAAUGCGUAGAUAUCGUCAGGAACACCAGUGGCGAAGGCGACUUCCUGGCCUGUUCUUGACGCUGAGGCGCGAAAGCUAGGGGAGCAAACGGG
rnacentral:rRNA from 1 species